rnacentral:rRNA from 1 species
UACGUAGGUGGCAAGCGUUGUCCGGAUUUAUUGGGCGUAAAGCGCUCGCAGGUGGUUCGUCGCGUCGUGCGUGAAAGACCCCGGCUCAACUGGGGGGUGUCGUGCGAUACGGGCGGACUGGAGGCCAGUAGGGGGAUGCGGAAUUCCGGGUGUAGUGGUGGAAUGCGUAGAGAUCCGGAGGAACACCAGCGGCGAAGGCGGCAUCCUGGACUGGUCCUGACACUCAGGAGCGAAAGCGUGGGGAGCGAUCCGG